CCUACGGGAGGCAGCAGUGGGGAAUAUUGCACAAUGGGGGAAACCCUGAUGCAGCGACGCCGCGUGAGUGAAGAAGUAUUUCGGUAUGUAAAGCUCUAUCAGCAGGGAAGAAACCCACCCUCCGGGGUGGCUGACGGUACCUGACUAAGAAGCCCCGGCUAACUACGUGCCAGCAGCCGCGGUAAUACGUAGGGGGCAAGCGUUAUCCGGAUUUACUGGGUGUAAAGGGAGCGUAGGUGGCAAGGCAAGUCAGAUGUGAAAACCCGGGGCCCAACCCCGGGAGUGCAUUUGAAACUGGCUGGCUAGAGUGCAGGAGAGGUAAGUGGAAUUCCUAGUGUAGCGGUGAAAUGCAUAGAUAGUAGGAGGAACACCAGUGGCGAAGGCGGCUUACUGGACCGUAACUGACACUGAGGCUCGAAAGCGUGGGGAGCAAACAGGAUUAGAUACCCUUGUAGUC
rnacentral:rRNA from 1 species